CAGAGGACAUGUUGAACGACAAUAGCACGAAUAGAUUCGACGGUCUGUGCAUAUCAUUAACAAGGACUGUGUCUGGCCCCCUUGGAAAUGGAGGUGGUGGCACAGCUAAUGUUAUUUACUGUGUCAAACAGAGCGUCACUAAUUCUUUUAGUCGGUAUUGUCACUUCAAAUGCAAUAUAUACAGGUCACCGUUACACGUGUAGGUUUCCAGAGGUCCCUGUCCCGGACGGUAUACCUCGCGUGGAUCAAUUUUGCAAGCCAUGGCUGGCUAGCCUUACAGAGCUAUACAAACAACGCUUCUGCUUGUGCAAGUGGGGAUACGUACGCAACGUUUGGGGACAAUGCAUCAGGACUGAAGAGUGCUACGACUGCCGCUUCGAAGCGAACAUGGAUUUCAACCCUUGCUCCUCGACCUGCCCAGACGUCUGCGGCUGGUCAGCUCCUGCGGCUUGUGCUCAGCAGUGCGUAAAGGGUUGCGCAUGCGCACCGGGCUUUCUGAGGGCUUUCCCGGAGGGACCAUGCGUAAACGUGGCUCUGUGUCCAGGUAGAUGUCCUGGACCUCAUCAGAUUUUCACGACAUGCUCGCCGCUAUGUCCGCAGACUUGCCGCAAUCCUCACCCCAGGUGGUGUCCGUCAGUCUGCGGCGGUCAACGCUGCGUCUGCGAGCCCGGCUACGUCGCGCUAACGUUCCAUCCGCUGACCUGCAUACGUCAAGAUGAG